ACUCAUUAUUAUUUUCUUUUCUCUCUCUAUUUUAGUGUAGUUGGAAUUUUGAAGCAACAAUAAUAUGGGUUUCAUGUUCGUUAUAAUAUGUGUAUUUACAGCGUAUUACACAUCAAUGAGAGUAGUGUAUUUUAUUUAGUGCCGAGUUAAUUAUUUAUCUGUUAUUUGUUUCUAAUUCUAUCUUAGUGCGAUUUAGAGUUCUAAUAGCAGUAACAUUCUUUGUGUUUGUUGCAAUGCAUAUUUAUAUAUUCUCUAUGUUAAUUUAAUGUAAUAACAUUAUUGUUGAAACAUGUAGUUUAUUAUUAGUGUUGUUUCAGUGCUUCGUCUCAAGUGAUUAUAUUUAUAGAGUGUUUCCUUAGUUGAUUUUAUUUAAUAUACGCAUAGCGUAUUAUCGUCCGUUACUACUGCAUAACAUAACCCUAUACAAUAUAACAAUCCUUUAUUCUAAAUAUGUUUGUCAUUAAUACUCGACUAACUUACCUUAAAUAAUUUCUAACUCAUUUCUACAUGUACAUAACCUUAUCUGUUUAUACCAAACUUAAUAUGAUAAUACUAUAAUAGCUUGGGGCAAUACGACAAUCUCUUAUUUUAAUUAGGUUUGUUGUUAGCACUCGGUUGACUUUCCUUUAAUCAAAUUUUAACUUAUUUCUAAACUAUUAGCUAUUUUUGUUUCUUUCUUAUAAAGUUGUCGUUGCCUUGUGCUUGUGCUUGUCAGUUUUACAUAUAAUUUUGGAGCUAAUAUAUACAUUGUUGGUAAGAAGUCAUUAUUGUUUAUAGUUUCUACAAUUCUAUUUCUCAACGUUGAGUCGUUCGCUGGAAUGGUUACACGGCGCAUGUUGGUAUUAUCUUAUUCUUCGUUACAUUGUCAAUGCUUAUUAUAACUAUCUUUACUUAUCCCAAAACUGUAAGUAUGCAUAAAAGAAAACGCCGUAUUCCGUAAGUAUUCACUUAAAUUUGGUAGUAAAAUUUUUUUUUUAUAACUGUAUUGGCUUCUGCGUACACCCUUUAAUGUGAGUAAUGAACUUCUUUACUUUUAUCAAUUUCUUUACAACAUUCUCCCCUUUUUAGGUUUACCUCACUAUUUAUUACCUUUGAUGUUUUUAUACCCGUGAGUGGAGUGAUCUCAAAAAUUUUCCAUUGGGCAACUCUGGUUGUCAUACAUCAUGUUCUACGAAUAUACCCGCAUAACCUGUAUUUGCACAUACACUUCCCUCUACGAUGAUUAAGUGCUUGCGAGUUUUCGUUACGGCACGUGCGGAGCGCGGGACGUGACACAAGCUCCUUUGAUUGUUUCGACGCUGAACGUGCCGGGCAGUACGUUCUGCGUGUAAAAUGGAAAAGACCGAGCGCUUAAACGUUAAAAAUAUCUCAAUCAGGAAAGAAAUGACAGUUAAUUCUCUUGAAAAUCGACGAAUGAUUGCAUUUUUCAAGCUCCUUUGAUUGUUUCGACGCUGAACGUGUCGGGCAGUACGUUCUGCGUGUAAAAUGGAAAAGACCGAGC